AACAGCGUAAUUGUUUUUGAGAGCUCAUAUCGACAAACGCAGUUUGCGACCUCGAUGUUGGAUUAAGAAAAAUUUUGGGUGCAGUAGCCCAGUAAUUAGGUCUGUUCGACCUUUAAAUUCUUACAUGAUCUGAGUUCAGACCGGCGUGAGCCAGGUCGGUUUCUAUCCUAAGAUUAUUAAUUCAUAUUAGUACGAUAGGACCAUAUGGUUGUAAUAUUUUUUAUUUUAUUGAUUAAUACUAAUUAAAUUA